CCCCACCAUACUGCAAACUACUUUAUGAAAGCUUUAUGAAAAACAAAUGUAAUUUUACAUUUAAAAAAUUCUUUAUCAUUUUCCAGAAUGCAUUCAAGUAUACAUAUUCAUUGUCGACAUUGUGACUGUCUACAGCAAGCAUGUCAAACAUGGGCCGCACGAGGCCCACACGGAGUAUCUUUGUGGCCCAGGGCCAGACUGGCAAUGUAUUAAAUUGAGGGGGGCUGGGGGGAGGAGGGUGGCAGUGUAUUAAAUUAAGGGGAAGGAGAAGAGCAGUGUAUUAGAAUGGGGGGAGAAAGUGAGGGCAGUGUAUUAAAUUGGAGGUAGGUAGGUGGGGAAGUCUAUUAGAGUGAGGGGGGCACUGUAUUAAAUUGGGGGGAGAGUGGGGCAAUAUAUUAAAUUAGGGGGAGGGAGGGGAGGCAUUUUAUAAAAUUAGAGUGGAGGGAGAGAGCAGUGUAUUAGAUUGGGGAAUGGGGGGCAGUGUAUUAGAGUGGUGGUGGUGGUGGCGGCAGUGUAUUAAAUUAGAGUGGAGGCUGAUUGGGAGGCCGUAUAUUAGUGUGGGGGAGCGGGGCUGCAGGAGGCUCUGUAUUAGAUUGGGGGGCAUAGUAAGUAACUUGAAGCAAAG